GCCUUCCUGGUGUAGUGGUCAGCACGUUCGGCGCGUAUUCGAGAGAUCCGUGGUUCGAGUCCUGGCGAGGGCA
rnacentral:tRNA from 1 species